CCUACGGGAGGCUGCAGUGGGGAAUAUUGCACAAUGGGGGAAACCCUGACGCAGUGACGCCGCGUGAAGGAAGAAGGUUUUCGGAUUGUAAACUACUGUCGAUAGGGAAGAAGAAAGACAGUACCUAAAGAAGAAGCUCCGGCUAACUACGUGCCAGCAGCCGCGGUAAUACGUAGGGAGCAAGCGUUAUCCGGAAUUAUUGGGUGUAAAGGGUGCGUAGACGGGGAAACAAGUUAGUUGUGAAAUCCCUCGGCUUAACUGAGGAACUGCAACUAAAACUAUUUUUCUUGAGUGCAGGAGAGGUAAGUGGAAUUCCUAGUGUAGCGGUGAAAUGCGUAGAUAUUAGGAGGAACACCAGUGGCGAAGGCGACUUUCUGGACUGUAACUGACGUUGAGGCGCGAAAGCGUGGGGAGCAAACAGGAUUAGAUACCCUUGUAGUC
rnacentral:rRNA from 1 species